UGGGGAAUUGUUCGCAAUGGGCGAAAGCCUGACGACGCAACGCCGCGUGGAGGAUGAAGAUCUUCGGGUCGUAAACUCCUUCCGAUCGAGACGAAUGCCUUGGGGGUGAACACUCCCCAAGGGUGACGGUACCGAGAGAAGAAGCCCCGGCUAACUCCGUGCCAGCAGCCGCGGUAAUACGGAGGGGGCAAGCGUUGUUCGGAAUUACUGGGCGUAAAGGGCGCGUAGGCGGAACGUCAAGUUAGGGGUGAAAGGCCUGGGCUCAACCUAGGAACGGCCUCUAAAACUGACGAUCUAGAGUCCGGAAGAGGAUGGCGGAAUUCCCAGUGUAGAGGUGAAAUUCGUAGAUAUUGGGAAGAACACCGGUGGCGAAGGCGGCCAUCUGGUCCGGUACUGACGCUGAGGCGCGAAAGCGUGGGGAGCAA
rnacentral:rRNA from 1 species